UGCGCAGGGACUAAACCAGGGAUAUGAUGCUGGAGAACAUUGUUGAUUCAAAUUCAUUCUCGGAAAAUGGAUGGGACGGCCAUGCGUUGUGCAUUCCCCAAAGGAAGCGGCAGCCUUCAACGAGCAGCGGCGACAACUUACCUGUGAAAGGGCCUGCCGUCAGCGCACCGUUCCACCCAUUAGAGCCGCCCGAUUGCCUGUCAGCACAGGCAAUCUGACAGCAACGAGAAGAUCCCGAGCUGAAGUACCGGGAGGCCGAGCAAUCCAGAACAGCUACCCGUGGGUUACUCAACCGUGACGAAGGUCAGGUGCAUGCAGGACAAGCUUUGCUAAUUCCCAUUUUCCAGUAGGGGAAGGCUUGGUAAUUUUUAAAAUUUUGUCAUGUGCUGUAUUAUUUUCUAUUUAAACACUGGUGCCUGCACCAAAAUAAAUUUUCUUCAGUAAUGAGA